AUUGAACGCUGGCGGUAUGCUUAACACAUGCAAGUCGAACGGUAGCAGGCCUUCGGGGGUACGACGAGUGGCGGACGGGUGCGUAACGCGUAUGCAACAUGCCUUCCAGCGGGGGAUAUACCAGGGAAACUUGGCGCAAUACCCCAUAGAAUUACGGGACCGCAUGGUCUUGUGAUUAAAACUCCGGUGCUGGGAGAUUGGCAUGCGUGACAUUAGCUAGUUGGCGGGGUAACGGCCCACCAAGGCGACGAUGUCUAGCUGGUCUGAGAGGAUGAUCAGCCACACUGGGACUGAGACACGGCCCAGACUCCUACGGGAGGCAGCAGUAGGGAAUAUUGGACAAUGGGGGGAACCCUGAUCCAGCCAUGCCGCGUGAGGGAAGAAGGUCCUCUGGAUUGUAAACCUCUUUUGGCAGGAAACAAACCUGCGCUAUACGCGCAGCUGAGGGUACCUGCAGAAUAAGCACCGGCUAACUCCGUGCCAGCAGCCGCGG
rnacentral:rRNA from 1 species